rnacentral:rRNA from 1 species
UAAGGAAUAUUGGUCAAUGGACGCAAGUCUGAACCAGCCAUGCCGCGUGAAGGAUGAAGGUCCUCUGGAUUGUAAACUUCUUUUAUCUGGGACGAAAACGGGAUUUUUAUCUCAAUUGACGGUACCAGAGGAAUAAGCACCGGCUAACUCCGUGCCAGCAGCCGCGGUAAUACGGAGGGUGCGAGCGUUAUCCGGAUUUACUGGGUUUAAAGGGUGCGUAGGUGGGCUUAUAAGUCAGUGGUGAAGUCUCCGAGCUUAACUUGGAAGCUGCCGUUGAUACUAUAGUUCUUGAAUUAUCUGGAGGUAAGCGGAAUAUGUCAUGUAGCGGUGAAAUGCUUAGAUAUGACAUAGAACACCAAUUGCGAAGGCAGCUUACUACAUAUAAAUUGACGCUGAGGCACGAAAGCGUGGGGAUCAAACA